AACCCGUGGUGUGGGCAGACUCUUAUCAUUUCCUUGUAUCGCUCUUACACAUCAAAAAGCGACUCAACAUCAUUCUGCAUAAAGCAGGUAAUUUGGUUCCUUAAUU